rnacentral:rRNA from 1 species
UACGGAGGGUGCGAGCGUUGUCCGGAAUUACUGGGCGUAAAGGGCGCGUAGGCGGCCAUCUAAGUCAGACGUGAAAUCCCCCGGCUUAACCUGGGAACUGCGUCUGAUACUGGACGGCUAGAGUAUGGGAGAGGGAUGUAGAAUUCCAGGUGUAGCGGUGAAAUGCGUAGAUAUCUGGAGGAAUACCGGUGGCGAAGGCGGCAUCCUGGACCAUUUACUGACGCUGAGGCGCGAAAGCUAGGGGAGCAAACGGG